rnacentral:rRNA from 1 species
CCUACGGGUGGCCGCAGUGAGGAAUAUUGGUCAAUGGGCGCGAGCCUGAACCAGCCAAGUCGCGUGAGGGAAGACGGUCCUAUGGAUUGUAAACCUCUUUUGUCGGGGAGCAAAAGACGCCACGCGUGGCGUUCCGAGAGUACCCGAAGAAAAAGCAUCGGCUAACUCAGUGCCAGCAGCGGCGGUAAUACGGAGGAUGCGAGCGUUAGCUGGAUUGAUUGGGUUAAAAGGGUGCGCAGGCGGAAGAUAAAGUCAGCGGGAAAAUUGAGAGGCUCAACCUCUUCGAGCCGUUUCAACUGGUUUUCUUGAGUGUGUGAGAAGUAGGCAGAAUGCGUGGUGUAGCGGUGAAAUGCAUAGAUAUCACGCAGAACUCCGAUUGCGAAGGCAGCAUACCGGCGCUCAACUGACGCUCAUGCACGAAAGUGUGGGUAUCGAACAGGAUUAGAUACCCUAGUAGUC